rnacentral:rRNA from 1 species
AUUGAACGCUGGCGGCAGGCCUAACACAUGCAAGUCGAGCGAGGGGCGGACGGGUGAGGAAUGUAUGGGGACUGCCCGAUAGAGGGGGAUAACUACUAGAAACGGUAGCUAAUACCGCAUAAUAUCGGAUAAACCAUGUGGGAUUAGCUAGUAGGUGAGGUAAUGGCUCACCUAGGCGACGAUCAAUAGCUGGUCUGAGAGGAUGAUCAGCACCACUGGGACUGAGACACGGCCCAGACUCCUACGGAGGAAGCAGUGGGGAAUAUUGCACCAUGGGCGCAAGGCUGAUGCAGCCAUGCCGCGUGUAUGAAGAAGGCCCUAGGGUUUUAAAGUACUUUCAGUCGGGAGGCGUUACCGACAGAAGAAGCACCGGCUAACUCCGUGCCAGCCGCCGCGGUAAUUC